GGGCCCUUAGCUCAGCGGUUAGAGCUGUCGGCUCAUAACCGAUUGGUCCCUGGUUCGAAUCCAGGAGGGCCCA
rfam:Myxococcus stipitatus DSM 14675, complete genome.